AGUGAACGCUGGCGGCAGGCCUAACACAUGCAAGUCGAGCGGCAGCGCGGGGGCAACCCUGGCGGCGAGCGGCGGACGGGUGAGGAAUUCGUCGGAAUCUGCCUCUUUGUGGGGGAUAACGUAGGGAAACUUACGCUAAUACCGCAUACGUCCUACGGGAGAAAGUGGGGGACCGCAAGGCCUCACGCAGAAAGAUGAGCCGACGACCGAUUAGCUAGUUGGUGGGGUAAAGGCCCACCAAGGCGACGAUCGGUAGCUGGUCUGAGAGGAUGAUCAGCCACACUGGGACUGAGACACGGCCCAGAGUCCUACGGGAGGCAGCAGUGGGGAAUAUUGGACAAUGGGCGCAAGCCUGAUCCAGCCAUGCCGCGUGUGUGAAGAAGGCCUUCGGGUUGUAAAGCACUUUUGUCCGGAAAGAAAUCCCUGGAGCUAAUACCUUCGGGGGAUGACGGUACCGGAAGAAUAAGCACCGGCUAACUUCGUG
rnacentral:rRNA from 1 species